rnacentral:rRNA from 1 species
GACGAACGCUGGCGGCGUGCCUAAUACAUGCAAGUCGAACGCAGUUGGGACGGGUGAGUAACACGUGGGUAACCUCCCAUCAGAGGAGAUAACACUUGGAAACAGGUGCUAAACCGAUACUGAUGGAUGGACCCGCGGUGCAUUAGCUAGUUGGUGAGGUAACGGCUCUCCAAGGCCACGAUGACUAACCGACCUGAGAGGUUGAUAGGCCACACUGGGAUUGAGAAACUGCCCAGACUCCUACGGGAGGCAGCAUUAGGGAAUAUUAGGCAAUGGACGAAAGUCUGACCCAGCAAUGCCGCGUGAGUGAAGAAGGUUUUCGGAUUGUAAAACUCUGUUGUUAGAGAAGCGGUAUCUAAACAAAAAGCCACGGCUAACUACGUGCCAGCAGCCGCGGUAAUAC